AUCAGGCGGAGAGAAAUUACAACCAUCAUCAUCAGGCCGAGAGUAAUUACAACCACCAUCAUCAGGCCGAGAGUAAUUACAACCACCACCAUCAGGCGGACAGCAAUUACAACCACCAUCAUCAAGCCGAGAGACCGGAUUAAAGGACAGCUGGGCGACCCAAGACCCACGUGACGCAAGACCGUGGAAGUAGGAGCUGGCAGCAGCGAUCGACCUUUUUUGGGGCGAGUCUCAACACCUUGCCGAGGACAGGAAGAAAGGGGAUGGCGUUCCAGACUGUGGGGGCAGCCACCGAGAAGCGGCGCAUAGCCGUGACCGUCCUGGAUCUUGAUAUCGAGAGGAGGUCAUCAGUCGCACUGUGAAGCAAUCUGCCGUGUGCUGUGCUGCAAGUCGUCACUAGUGAAGAGAGGUAAGGGGUUGGGUUAUUAAUUACGCGACCUAGCCCAACAAAACCCCCCUUCAUCGCGGAUAUUGGUCGCGAAAGUCUACUCGCGCGUUAAACUCAGGAACACCGCGGGGGGACGGGAUUCCCGUGGCGUUUCUCAGUCCGGCGUUAUGCUCUGCCAGCGUGCGUGCGUUUCCUUGUAAACGGCAGAAUUCCGACAAU